AUGCACGCAACAAAUGUGGCAAAUGAUGAUUACAUAUAUGAGUCACAAGAAUAUGAAACCCAAUAUGAUGAUGACAAUCUUGAUGUGGAUGAUGAGGGCUUCAUUGUCAAGGGAAGAAGCGGCAAUUAUAGCACCGGGGAGGAUGUGUUGAUAUGCACCGCUUGGAAGAAAAUCUCUCAAGAUGCAAGCGUUGGAAGCGACCAAACGAUGAGCACCUAUUGGAAACGCAUCAAGGAGUAUUUCGAUGAGCGCAACACAAGUGGUAUCUUCCGUUCGAGCGACUCUCUACGCCAACGUUGGUCCACCAUCAACGCCGAAUGCUCAAAGUGGGCCGGUUGCUUGUCAAAUGUUGCUCGCAUGAACCCAAGUGGUUGCGGUGAUAGUGAUUUGAAAAUGAUUGCACAAGGAUUGUUUCAGGAGAGGAACAUGAAAAGCGAGAAGAAGAAAAGGAAAGGAAAAGCUUUCACUUUUCAUCAUUGCUACAAAGAGCUCAAGGAUGUGGAGAAGUGGAAAACUAGAGAGACUUUUGAAUCGUCGAAGAAGAAGAGUGUGUUGGUUGUGGAUGAAGAAGAUGUCGCCAUUGAGGAGACGAGCCCCACUCCUCACUCCGCGACAAAAUCUUAUAGGCCCAAUGGAAACAAGAAAGCGAAGGGAACCAAGGCCGGAGACAAUGAUCUCAAGGAAGGAUUUGAUGCCAUUGUCAUGGCAAGGAAAGAGUAUGCCGACGAGAAAAGAAUGUUGAAGCUCAAGGAAAUAGAGGAGAGGAGUGAGGCCGAGCGGUGA
rnacentral:rRNA from 1 species